GCAUAUCAAUAAGCGGAGGAAAAGAAACCAACAGGGAUUGCCUAGUACGUCGAGUGAAGCGACCACAGCUCAAAUUUGAAAUCUGGCUCUCGGGCCCGACUUGUAAUUUGUGGAGGAUACUUUUGAUGCGGUGCCAUCCGAGCACCCUGGAACGGGACGCCAUAGAGGGUGAGAGCCCCGUCUGGUUGGAUGCCAAAUCUCUGUGAAGUUCCCUUCGACCGAGACGAGUAGUUUGGGAAUGCUGCUCUAAAUGGGAGGUAUAUGUCUUCUAAAGCUAAAUACCGGCCAGAGACCGAUAGCGCACAAGUAGAGUGAUCGAAAGAUGAAAAGCACUUUGAAAAGAGAGUAAAAAAGUACGUGAAAUUGUUGAAAGGGAAGCUUUUAUGACCAGAGUUGGUCUUGGUUAAUCAUCUGGGGUUCUGCCCGGUGCACUUUUCCAGUCCAGGCCAGCAUCGGUGUUCGCCCGGAAAAAAAGACUUCAAAAAUAUGCCCUCCCCCCCCGCGGAGUGUAAAAGCCGGGUGUGGAAUUCCCCUGGCGGGGACUGGAGG
rnacentral:rRNA from 1 species